rnacentral:rRNA from 1 species
GAGUUUGAUCCUGGCUCAGGACGAACGCUGGCGGCAUGCCUAAUACAUGCAAGUCGAGCGGACUUGAUGAGAAGCUUGCUUCUCUGAUGGUUAGCGGCGGACGGGUGAGUAACACGUAGGCAACCUGCCCUCAAGUUUGGGACAACUACCGGAAACGGUAGCUAAUACCGAAUAGUUGUUUUCUUCGCCUGAAGGAAACUGGAAAGACGGAGCAAUCUGUCACUUGGGGAUGGGCCUGCGGCGCAUUAGCUAGUUGGUGGGGUAACGGCUCACC